GACGAACGCUGGCGGCGUGCUUAACACAUGCAAGUCGAACGGAAAGGCCCUGCUUUUGUGGGGUGCUCGAGUGGCGAACGGGUGAGUAACACGUGAGUAACCUGCCCUUGACUUUGGGAUAACUUCAGGAAACUGGGGCUAAUACCGGAUAGGAGCUCCUGCUGCAUGGUGGGGGUUGGAAAGUUUCGGCGGUUGGGGAUGGACUCGCGGCUUAUCAGCUUGUUGGUGAGGUAGUGGCUUACCAAGGCUUUGACGGGUAGCCGGCCUGAGAGGGUGACCGGCCACAUGGGGACUGAGAGACGGACCAGACUCCUACGGGAGGCAGCAGGGGGGAGUAUUGCGCAGUGGGCGGGAGCGUGAUGCAGCAACGCCGCGUGCGGGAUGACGGCCUUCGGGUUGUAAACCGCUUUCGCCUGUGACGAAGCGUGAGUGACGGUAAUGGGUAAAGAAGCACCGGCUAACUACGUG
rnacentral:rRNA from 1 species